GUUUGAUGUAGAUGAAAUAUGUUACAAUUUGGUACAGAGUGGGCCUAAACUAAUCCCUUGAAUUUUGCAAAGACAUUGAGAUUCACCUGAAAACAAUAAGAAGGAAAUAAAUAUAAAGUCAGUUGGAACAGAGAAGGAGGCUACUACAUCUUUUGGCUACGACUAAGCUUGCCCUGAUGAGUGGAGACCUCUCUUCUUCUGGAGUUUCAGCCAAAAUUCACUGAACCUGUGAGCUGACAUCUUGGCUUGGUGGAUUUUCUCCCUUUAGUUGGGCAAUGCAAGUAUGGGCAGCCAAACAUCCAGGCCAUCUGAUCAGCAACCUUUAUUAGAUCAUACAGAUGAAGUACCACUCAUUGAGAAGAUCUCAGUUGUGGUUAUGGGACCUCAUGGAGUUGGAAAGAAUACAGUUGGGAAUGCUAUUCUUAAAAAGAAAGCCUUCACAUUCCAGGAUAGAUCUAAAAACUAUUACUUGAAGGAGGAAAACACAACAUUUGACAGACAUGUUUCUGUCAUUCGUGUCCCAGGCUGGUCUGCAGAUUUAACCUCUGAAAACAAUAUACAACUUUGGCAAGUGAUUAAAGACAGUCUGAGCAUAUUUUAAUCGCUUCAGUGGACAGAAAAAACAUUGUGGUUUGUCACAGUGAAAGAAAACAAACUGUCAUUAACAGAUGUAAAUAUCACUUAUUUGUAAGAUGCACAUGUGGACAGCAAAAUAAAAAGUUCAUUGAAACAAUUGAAGAUUUUAUUGUAUAUAAGGAAGACAUUCGUUUCUACACUGUGAGGAAAAAGGCACAAAAAAUGGAAUUGCAGCAUCAGGACCUGGCUAACCUUGUAGAUGGAUUAAACCACAAAAUUUCAGCUCUCUCAUGUUCCAAGGAUUCCAAUGAGCAUGUAAUACAAUCACAAAAAGCUGAAAUAAAGGAACUACAACGUCUGCUGAAAGAAAAGGAGCAUAUGUUGAGAGCCAAGGAGGAGGAGAUAAAAAGUUUAAAGUCAAAUCAAAAUCACACAAAGCUCUCUGCCCUGCACAAACAGCUUGAGCAUGCAGCAAUGAAAGAAAAAAAGCUUCAAGGAAUGGUUGGUGAAAUGAAAAAAAAUCUUGAAGAAAAAAAUAAAGAGAUAAAAGAACUGAGAAAAGAAAUCAAGCAUUGAAAUCUCAAAAUGAAAAUAAAAAAAGCACAAAACCACCAUCCAUGACUGGACGAAUGCAGAAGCCUACUAAUUCAGUUGAAUUAAUCCCCCUGAUCUCAACAG
ensembl:lncRNA